AUUGAACACUGGCGGCAUGCUUUACACAUGCAAGUCGAACGGUAACAGGUUAAGCUGGCGAGUGGCGAACGGGUGAGUAAUGCAUCGGAACGUGCCCGAUCGUGGGGGAUAACGCAGCGAAAGCUGCGCUAAUACCGCAUACGAUCUGAGGAUGAAAGCGGGGGACCGUAAGGCCUCGCGCGAUCGGAGCGGCCGAUGUCAGAUUAGGUAGUUGGUGGGGUAAAGGCUCACCAAGCCGACGAUCUGUAGCUGGUCUGAGAGGACGACCAGCCACACUGGGACUGAGACACGGCCCAGACUCCUACGGGAGGCAGCAGUGGGGGAUUUUGGACAAUGGGCGAAAGCCUGAUCCAGCAAUGCCGCGUGCAGGAAGAAGGCCUUCGGGUUGUAAACUGCUUUUGUACGGAGCGAAAAGGCUCUCUCUAAUACAGGGGGCUCAUGACGGUACCGUAAGAAUAAGCACCGGCUAACUACGUGCCAGCAGCCGCCGUAA
rnacentral:rRNA from 1 species